ACAUGCAGUCGAACGAACCCUUCGGGGUUAGUGGCGCACGGGUGCGUAACGCGUGGGAAUCUGCCCUUAGGUACGGAAUAACUCAGGGAAACUUGUGCUAAUACCGUAUGAUGUCGAGAGACCAAAGAUUUAUCGCCUAGGGAUGAGCCCGCGUAGGAUUAGCUAGUUGGUGGGGUAAAGGCCUACCAAGGCUACGAUCCUUAGCUGGUCUGAGAGGAUGAUCAGCCACACUGGGACUGAGACACGGCCCAGACUCCUACGGGAGGCAGCAGUGGGGAAUAUUGGACAAUGGGCGAAAGCCUGAUCCAGCAAUGCCGCGUGAGUGAAGAAGGCCUUCGGGUUGUAAAGCUCUUUUACCCGGGAAGAUAAUGACUGUACCGGGAGAAUAAGCUCCGGCUAACUCCGUGCCAGCAGCCGCGGUAAUACGGAGGGAGCUAGCGUUGUUCGGAAUUACUGGGCGUAAAGCGUACGUAGGCGGCUUUGUAAGUCAGAGGUGAAAGCCCACGACUCAAUCGUGGAACUGCCUUUGAGACUGCUUCGCUUGAAGAUGGGAGAGGUUAGUGGAAUUCCGAGUGUAGAGGUGAAAUUCGUAGAUAUUCGGAAGAACACCAGUGGCGAAGGCGGCUAACUGGACCAUUCUUGACGCUGAGGUACGAAAGCGUGGGGAGCAAACAGGA
rnacentral:rRNA from 1 species